UUAAGCGACUAAGCGUACACGGUGGAUGCCCUGGCAGUCAGAGGCGAUGAAGGACGUGCUAAUCUGCGAAAAGCGUCGGUAAGGUGAUAUGAACCGUUAUAGCCGGCGAUGUCCGAAUGGGGAAACCCAGUGUGAUUCGUCACACUAUCGUUAACUGAAUACAUAGGUUAACGAGGCGAACCGGGGGAACUGAAACAUCUAAGUACCCCGAGGAAAAGAAAUCAACCGAGAUUCCCCCAGUAGCGGCGAGCGAACGGGGAGCAGCCCAGAGUCUGAAUCAGCUUGUGUGUUAGUGGAACGGUCUGGAAAGUCCGACGGUACAGGGUGAUAGUCCCGUACACCAAAAUGCACAGGUUGUGAACUCGAAGAGUAGGGCGGGACACGUGGUAUCCUGUCUGAAUAUGGGGGGACCAUCCUCCAAGGCUAAAUACUCCUGACUGACCGAUAGUGAACCAGUACCGUGAGGGAAAGGCGAAAAGAACCCCGGCGAGGGGAGUGAAAAAGAACCUGAAACCGUGUACGUACAAGCAGUGGGAGCACCUUCGGGUGUGACUGCGUACCUUUUGUAUAAUGGGUCAGCGACUUAUAUUCUGUAGCAAGGUUAACCGUAUAGGGGAGCCGCAGGGAAACCGAGUCUUAACUGGGCGUUAAGUUGCAGGGUAUAGACCCGAAACCCGGUGAUCUAGCCAUGGGCAGGUUGAAGGUUGGGUAACACUAACUGGAGGACCGAACCGACUAAUGUUGAAAAAUUAGCGGAUGACUUGUGGCUGGGGGUGAAAGGCCAAUCAAACCGGGAGAUAGCUGGUUCUCCCCGAAAGCUAUUUAGGUAGCGCCUCGUGAACUCAUCUUCGGGGGUAGAGCACUGUUUCGGCUAGGGGGUCAUCCCGACUUACCAACCCGAUGCAAACUACGAAUACCGAAGAAUGUUAUCACGGGAGACACACGGCGGGUGCUAACGUCCGUCGUGAAGAGGGAAACAACCCAGACCGCCAGCUAAGGUCCCAAAGUCAUGGUUAAGUGGGAAACGAUGUGGGAAGGCACAGACAGCCAGGAUGUUGGCUUAGAAGCAGCCAUCAUUUAAAGAAAGCGUAAUAGCUCACUGGUCGAGUCGGCCUGCGCGGAAGAUGUAACGGGGCUAAACCAUGCACCGAAGCUGCGGCAGCGACACUAUGUGUUGUUGGGUAGGGGAGCGUUCUGUAAGCCUGCGAAGGUGACCUGUGAGGGUUGCUGGAGGUAUCAGAAGUGCGAAUGCUGACAUAAGUAACGAUAAAGCGGGUGAAAAGCCCGCUCGCCGGAAGACCAAGGGUUCCUGUCCAACGUUAAUCGGGGCAGGGUGAGUCGACCCCUAAGGCGAGGCCGAAAGGCGUAGUCGAUGGGAAACAGGUUAAUAUUCCUGUACUUGGUGUUACUGCGAAGGGGGGACGGAGAAGGCUAUGUUAGCCGGGCGACGGUUGUCCCGGUUUAAGCAUGUAGGCUGGUUGUCCAGGCAAAUCCGGAUAAUCAAGGCUGAGGUGUGAUGACGAGGCACUACGGUGCUGAAGUAACAAAUGCCCUGCUUCCAGGAAAAGCCUCUAAGCAUCAGGUAACAUUAAAUCGUACCCCAAACCGACACAGGUGGUCAGGUAGAGAAUACCAAGGCGCUUGAGAGAACUCGGGUGAAGGAACUAGGCAAAAUGGUGCCGUAACUUCGGGAGAAGGCACGCUGGUGUGUAGGUGAAGUCCCUGCGGAUGGAGCUGAGACCAGUCGAAGAUACCAGCUGGCUGCAACUGUUUAUUAAAAACACAGCACUGUGCAAACACGAAAGUGGACGUAUACGGUGUGACGCCUGCCCGGUGCCGGAAGGUUAAUUGAUGGGGUUAUCCGUAAGGAGAAGCUCUUGAUCGAAGCCCCGGUAAACGGCGGCCGUAACUAUAACGGUCCUAAGGUAGCGAAAUUCCUUGUCGGGUAAGUUCCGACCUGCACGAAUGGCGUAAUGAUGGCCAGGCUGUCUCCACCCGAGACUCAGUGAAAUUGAACUCGCUGUGAAGAUGCAGUGUACCCGCGGCAAGACGGAAAGACCCCGUGAACCUUUACUAUAGCUUGACACUGAACAUUGAGCCUUGAUGUGUAGGAUAGGUGGGAGGCUUUGAAGCGUGGACGCCAGUCUGCGUGGAGCCAACCUUGAAAUACCACCCUUUAAUGUUUGAUGUUCUAACGUUGGCCCCUGACCGGGGUUGCGGACAGUGUCUGGUGGGUAGUUUGACUGGGGCGGUCUCCUCCCAAAGCGUAACGGAGGAGCACGAAGGUUAGCUAAUCCUGGUCGGACAUCAGGAGGUUAGUGCAAUGGCAUAAGCUAGCUUGACUGCGAGCGUGACGGCGCGAGCAGGUGCGAAAGCAGGUCAUAGUGAUCCGGUGGUUCUGAAUGGAAGGGCCAUCGCUCAACGGAUAAAAGGUACUCCGGGGAUAACAGGCUGAUACCGCCCAAGAGUUCAUAUCGACGGCGGUGUUUGGCACCUCGAUGUCGGCUCAUCACAUCCUGGGGCUGAAGUAGGUCCCAAGGGUAUGGCUGUUCGCCAUUUAAAGUGGUACGCGAGCUGGGUUUAGAACGUCGUGAGACAGUUCGGUCCCUAUCUGCCGUGGGCGCUGGAGAAUUGAGGGGGGCUGCUCCUAGUACGAGAGGACCGGAGUGGACGCAUCACUGGUGUUCGGGUUGUCAUGCCAAUGGCACUGCCCGGUAGCUAAAUGCGGAAGAGAUAAGUGCUGAAAGCAUCUAAGCACGAAACUUGCCCCGAGAUGAGUUCUCCCUGAGACUAUAAGUCUCCUGAAGGAACGUUAAAGACGAUGACGUUGAUAGGCCGGGUGUGUAAGCGCAGCGAUGCGUUGAGCUAACCGGUACUAAUGAACCGUGAGGCUUAACCUU
rnacentral:rRNA from 1 species